UACGUAGGCAGCAAGCGUUGUUCGGAGUUACUGGGCGUAAAGGGUGUGUAGGCGGUCCCCUAAGUUUGGUGUGAAAUCUCCCGGCUCAACUGGGAGGGUGCGCCGAAAACUGGGGGGCUAGAGUACUGGAUGGGAGAGUGGAAUUCCUGGUGUAGCGGUGAAAUGCGUAGAUAUCAGGAGGAACACCUGUGGUGUAGACGGCUCUCUGGACAGUAACUGACGCUGAGACACGAAAGCGUGGGUAGCAAACAGG
rnacentral:rRNA from 1 species